AGAUGAUCCAGCGGCGAGUUACGAGGGGCACCGACUUUGAAAAUAGUCGUGUAAUAUGUCCAAGGACGUAUUACGUCCUCGACGAGAAGGAAAAACCACGAGAUGAGAUCCCUUCUCGUUGUUGAACGAGGGAGUAAUAAUAACGGCGGAGGGAAGGGUUGAUACGUAAAAACGAAUCUGCGGCGGUCUAUUCAGUGCGCAACAACACACAAGAUUUCCAAGGACUAAAUUUAUUCUCGCUAUUUCAACGAAAUUCACACGUACGAGUUGCUGCGUUAUAUCAUAUAUGUACAACACGAAUGGG